rnacentral:rRNA from 1 species
AUUGAACGCUGGCGGCAGGCCUAACACAUGCAAGUCGAGCGAGCGGCGGACGGGGGAGUAAUGUCUGGGAAACUGCCUGUUGGAGGGGGAUAAAUCCUGGAAAACGUAUCUAAUACCGCACACCAGCAGAUGUGCCCAGAUGGGAUGAGCUGGUAGGUGGGGUAACGGCGCACCAAGGCGACGAUCCCCAGCUGGUAUGAGAGGAUGACCAGCCACACUGGAACUGAGACACGGUCCAGACUCCUACGGGAGGCAGCAGUGGGGAAUAUUGCACAAUGGGCGGAAGCCUGAUGCAGCCAUGCCGCGUGUGUGAAGAAGGCCUUCGGGUUGUAAAGCACUUUCAGCGGGGAGGCGUUACCCGCAGAAGAAGCACCGGCUAACUCCGUGCCAGCAGCCGCGGUAAUAC